GUGCCAGCAGCCGCGGUAAGACAGAGGGUGCAAACGUUGCUCGGAAUUACUGGGCGUAAAGCGCGUGUAGGCGGACUGGUGUGUCGGAUGUGAAAUCCCCAGGCUCAACCUGGGAACUGCAUUCGAAACUGCCAGCCUUGAGUGGUGGAGAGGGAAGUGGAAUUCCUGGUGUAGAGGUGAAAUUCGUAGAUAUCAGGAGGAACACCAGUGGCGAAGGCGGCUUCCUGGACACCAACUGACGCUGAGACGCGAAAGCGUGGGGAGCAAACAGGAUUAGAUACCCUGGUAGUCC
rnacentral:rRNA from 1 species